GCUGGGAUAUUGAAGACAAAAUAAAAGAGAAGAAAAUGAAAUGAAAUGGGCAUGUCCUUCAUUUUCUCUAUGGUUUUCUGGGUGCAGAAACAUACUGUGAUUGAGUCCAAGCCUGAACAUUUUCUGGAUGACCUUCGUUUGAAUAAUCCAUGGCCUGAGCUUAGAAGGUCCAGAGUUGCAACAAAUAAUUAGUGACAGCCGUUCUUAAGUUCAUUCCGGUUAAUCAGACUUUUGGGUCAUGGUGGCGGCAUUGAAGAUUUGUGAAACCAAGAUUGAAUCUGCGACAACUGGAUAUAGUGUGCAUAAAUUAGAUCUGUUUAUCUUGGAAUUCCUAGCAAAUGAAGGUGGUGGUGAGGCACCCCUCGAGGGAUCAGUACCAGAUAUAACAUCUUCAACUGAGCACUAUGUAGCUUUACAGAAAACCUACCAAGCCAAGGCUGAGGCUGAUUUUCUAGUAUUGACCAAAGGGUUAGG